rnacentral:rRNA from 1 species
AUUGAACGCUGGCGGCAGGCCUAACACAUGCAAGUCGAACGAGUGGCGGACGGGUGAGUAAUGUCUGGGAAUCUGCCCGAUGGAGGGGGAUCACUACUGGAAACGGUAGCUAAUACCGCAUACUAUCGGAUGAACCCAGAUGGGAUUAGCUAGUAGGUGGGGUAAUGGCUCACCUAGGCGACGAUCUCUAGCUGGUCUGAGAGGAUGACCAGCCACACUGGAACUGAGACACGGUCCAGACUCCUACGGGAGGCAGCAGUGGGGAAUAGUGCACAAUGGGCGCAAGCCUGAUGCAGCCAUGCCGCGUGUAUGAAGAAGGCCUUCGGGUUGUAAAGUACUUUCAGCGAGGAGGCGUUACUCGCAGAAGAAGCACCGGCUAACUCCGUGCCAGCAGCCGCGGUAAUAC